UACGAAGGGGGCGUAGCGUUGCUCGGGAAUCACUGGGCGUAAAGGGUGCGUAGGCGGGUCUUUAAGUCAGGGGUGAAAUCCUGGAGCUCAACUCCAGAACUGCCUUUGAUACUGAGGAUCUUGAGUUCGGGAGAGGUGGAGUGGAACUGCGAGUGUAGAGGUGAAAUUCGUAGAUAUUCGCAAGAACGACCGGUGGCGAAGGCGGGUCUCUGGGCCGAUACUGACGCUGAGGAGCGGAAAGCAUGGGUAGCGAACAGG
rnacentral:rRNA from 1 species